UCAUGCAGUCAGGGAGCUGGGUCAUGCAGUCAGGGAGCUGGGUCAUGCAGUCAGGGAGCUGGGUCAUGCAGUCAGGGAGCUGGGUCAUGCAGUCAGGGAGCUGGGUCAUGCAGUCAGGGAUCUGGGUCAUGCAGUCAGGGAGCUGAAGCUGAUGUGCAGCUGGGUCAUGCAGUCAGGGAGCUGAAGCUGAAGUGCAGCUGGGUCAUGCAGCAAGACAAUGAUCCAAAACACACAAUUAAGUCUACAUGAAAAUGGCUAAAAAAGCAACAAAUGUGAAGGUUUGGAAUGGCCUAGUCCAAAUACAGACCUCAUCCCAAUUGAGAUGACAGGACUUGAAACGAGCAGCUCAGGCUUGAAAACCCACAAAAUGUCGCUGAGUUACUGCAGUUCUGCAUGGAAGAAUGAGCCAAAAUUCCCCCACAGCGAGCUGAAAGACUGAUCAACAGCUACAGGAAGCGUUUGGUUGGAUUCAUUGCAGCUUAAGGUGGUACAACCAAGUAUUGAGUGUAAGGGAGCAAUGACUUUCUCACACAUGGGCAUUGGGUGUUGCAUAACUUUGUGUAUGAAGAAAGUAUGCAAUUAUUGUGUUAUUUUUUCACUCAGGUUCCCUUUAUCUACUAUUAGGUUUUGGUUGAAGAUCUGAUCAAAUUCAGUAUAAAAAAUAUGCAAAAACAGUGAAAAUCAGAAAGGGGGCAAAUACUUUACAGCUAGAGAGGAUAAAUAUAGAGGUAGAGAGGAUAAAUAUAGAGGUAGAGAGGAUAAAUAUAGAGGUAGAGAGGAUAAAUAUAGAGGUAGAGAGGAUAAAUAUAGAGGUAGAGAGGAUAAAUAUAGAGGUAGAGAGGAUAAAUAUAGAGGUAGAGAGGAUAGAUAUAGAGGUAGAGAGGAUAGAUAUAGAGGUAGAGAGGAUAGAUAUAGAGGUAGAGAGGAUAGAUAUAGAGGUAGAGAGGAUAGAUAUAGAGGUAGAGAGGAUAGAUAUAGAGGUAGAGAGGAUAAAUAUAGAGGUAGAGAGGAUAAAUAUAGAGGUAGAGAGGAUAAAUAUAGAGGUAGAGAGGAUAAAUAUAGAGGUAGAGAGGAUAAAUAUAGAGGUAGAGAGGAUAAAUAUAGAGGUAGAGAGGAUAGAUAUAGAGGUAGAGAGGAUAAAUAUAGAGGUAGAGAGGAUAAAUAUAGAGGUAGAG